GACCUGCAUACAGAUUUCUCAGGAGGCAGGUCAUAUGGUCUGGUAUUCCCAUCUCUUUCAGAAUUUUCCACAGUUUGCUGUGAUUCACACAGUCAAAGGCUUUGGCGUAGUCAAUAAAGCAAAGUAGAUGAUUCUGAUUCUGAUGCUUGUUCAAUCUCUUCAAACUGUAUAUUUUGCCUUUUAUUAUGCCUUAUUAUGCCUUUUAUUAUGCCAUGUCUCUUAAAAAUGGACAUGAUGUAGUACAUAAUAAGAACUGGGGUAGAGAGGCGUUUAAUAACAUGAUAAGGUAUGGUGACAGGAGAAGCAUCUUACCGCCUGAUGAUAAGUUCUUAGUCUUUUAGUGAUCUUUCUUCAGAUUGUGAAGUUCAUCAGUUCUCAAUUCCCCCUUGCCCUGCCUUCCAUGGACAGAAUAACUUGAAAUGGGUAUAUCCCCCAGGGUCAGGUUGGCUCUGAUAAGACCCAGCAGAUUAGGUUCUGCUGAAAUAGUUUCUUCUGAAGGCAGGCUUGUUUUCUAGAACAGUGUUGUGCAUUUCACACCGGUUUCUUUCUCUUUCCCCUAUCCAGCAGGGGAAAGAGAAAGGAAAAAUCUUUCUCCAGCAUUCAAUUGAGUUCUUGAACAGGAAACUCACCAAAAUACCAGCACUUCAUCCCUCACCACCACCUUCCUGCCUAGUGACUGGACCCUCUAGAUGUUUUUGAUUUAUAGACCUUUCCCCCUGAGCUUCCAGAAAUUUGUCAUUUACAAUUCAGUUUUUCCCACCCAGGCAGGGCUUUAUUUCCAUGGAAAUUCCUGCUUGUGAGUUACUUCUUUAGUAAGUUGUGAUUCUCUGUAUCUGCUUAUCUUUGCAAUUUGGGGGCAGUGUUUUGCCAUGAAACCUCACUUCUCUGAUGAAUGUAAGAAGAGUUGUUGACUUUUCAGUUUGUUUAGCUUUUAUUUGUAGUUAGGAGAGAGCAGCAACUUCUAAACUCCUUACAGGCUGGUCUGUAAACUGCAAGUCCAUCCCAAUCUUUUUCAAUUAUCUGUUCUUUUAAAUUUAUUUUCCUACACAGAAAUAAAAGGAUAUAUAUAUAUAUAUAUAUAUAUAUAUAAUUUCUUGAAUAUAUGUGCAAAAUAAAUACAAGAGUAUACUUUAAGGGCAAUGUUUCCCCUAUUUGUUUCCCUUACUGCUUUUUAAAUGUCGAAAUUAAUGGCAUCUUAAAAUAUUCCAUUUUAAAGGUGUUCUGUCAAGUUUUUAGAAAUUCAUGGUGAUCAAUUUUUUUUCAUUAUUGUUAGUUGGGAUGUUAAAACUUGCAAUGUAACAUGAAAAUAUAUUCAUAUUUUAUAGUAUUGCUACAGUCUUGAAGCCUUAAAAUAUGAAAUAUUGAAACUUACUUUUGAUGUGAUUCCAUUGAUUUGAAAGCAAAAUUUGUGAUAUACCUAUACUUGCAUAUAUUGCUUAAGUAUCUAUAUUCCUAACAAGAAAGUAUGUCCUUAAUGACUGGUUUUGUAAGAGAAUCAGAUCUGCCACUUAAAAUAUUAUGUGUCUAAUGAGAAGAAAUUUCCCCAGAUUAAUUCUGACUCUAUAUUUCAAACUUUGUUUUUGCACAAUUGCCAAACAUGCUUUCAGUAACAGAGCCCAAAGGACACAUUCAUACUGACAUAUAGCAUCUAUCCUAGCAUAUUUGGGCCAUGACGUCAGAUAGGUUAGUGCAGUGGGUAGGGGGAUUUUCCUCUACUGGGAUAAUUAUUGUUAACUGAUUAGCAGAAGUGACUAAAAAUGUAUAAACUUGCCCUACUAAACCAAAAUAAAAUGUGGUCCCUAAUAACAUCAACUAGGUCUCAAAAACAUGACUAUGCUUCCCCUUGACUAUCAAAGUUCACUUAAAGGAAGAAAGGUAUAGUUUAGAAGAAUUUGCAUGUAAGAGGACCUUCAGCCUAAGCUUCAUUAGCUUGGCUGUGAAUUAGCUUCUUAGACAGAAACACUAUAAUACUCCCAAAAGUGAUUAGACUCAUAAGGAAAGCUUCAGUGAAGACUUACUUCCGGGAAUCUGAUGUUUUUCCCUGUCAAGUAGAGCAAACAUUAGCAAACUCUGGGACAAGGAAGCCCAAAAUUAGGAAAGUAAAGAUUUGUCUUUCCUAGGAGACCAAGAAAGAAGGUUCUGGGAAGCAGAGAUACAAUAGGUAUAUUUUCUUUAUUAAAAAAAAAAAAAUUUCUUGUAGAGUGAGAAUGAAAGAAAUAAAUAUAUUAAUAAUUUUGCUCAAAUUAUCAUAAACAUUUUAGAGAUUAAAAGGAUAGUCUGAAGUUCAAAGACAUUGAGCUCACUUAUAUAAGACUGCACAGUUACUCUGUUUCAGAACAUAAACUAGAACUCAGUCUGUUAUAGGCCUCAGAGCUUUUGUUCACUACACCUCACUGUCUUCUCAUCACUUUUAAAGCCACUUCUUCCCACAGAUGGCUUCCUAUAUCUGUCCCAUGGAUGUGUGUCCAAGGGGAUAUAAUGUAAAGAAAUUUCUGAAACUUGAAAACAUAUCUGCUCCUUAUCUGUUCGAAAAGGUAUGCUAUUAUUUAUAUUGAACUUAACCAAAUAAAAUUGCAACACUAAUAGCCCCAAAUUGGUCAAGAAUGGUCAUUUUCACAUGAUUCAAUCAAUAUUCAUAUAGAGAUUUUUGAUUUCUGUGGCACAGUCAAACUUUUCCUAUGUACUUGGGCUUCUUGCUUCUUAAUUCUACUUAGAAAUGCUUCUUACCAUUUCCAUUAGUUUAGCACAUUGUAUUUGUAUGCCAAAACAUAUUAAAUAUAGGUAGUUUCAUAUUGUUCCAUCUAACAUUUCAGAGCUUUAGAAUGUUGUAAAUUUAGCACUUUAGAACUUAAAGAUUCAUGAUUGAUGCAUGAAGUAAACUGUAAGAUUUUUCAAAGAUCUUAAAUAAUAAUUUAAAAUUAUUAGAUUAGUACCAGUUUAUUCAAGUGGAAAAAAAAUUAAAACUAUCUGUUUUCUCUUAUUUGGAAGUGUUUCACUUGGAGGGAUAGUAAUAAUUUAUUUGCUUUUAAAAACUUUCUAUCUAGCCUAUAUUUUGAUGUUAACAUAUUCAAAUUUGAAAGAUUAUUCAUUACAGAAUGCUAUCAUAUCUAUCUAAUAAAACUUUAAAAAAUAUUUUUGACACAUUAUGAUAUCCAUUUGCCAAACUAAGAAACAUAAGAGGGUUUGCUUUCUUUUGUAGAUGCAGAAAACAAUUUUUCUUUAAAUAGCAAACAUACCGUAUAUACAUGUAGGCAAGUAUGCCACUGCAUUUGACCUACAAGGAUGACAGUUUCGUGUAUCAAUUGUUCAAUCUAACAUGUAUUUUUGCUUAACAAUUUAAAUUAUAUAUUUAUUUUAGAAGAUUAUAUAUAUAAACACAUAUAUUAUAAAACACUAUCUUUAAUUUUUUAAAAGUAAUGAGGAAAUGUAUGAACUUUUCUAAACUUUAGUGUACAGUCACCAAGAUAAAAUGGUUUAGAUUUAUCUGCAUUGUCAUUUUAUUAGUAUCUUUGCUAUCACUACCACAAAGGAUGAACCACAAAGUUUUAAAGCUCUCACAAAUAGUUUGCUGCACUCAUAUAUAUUUAUAAUAAUUUACAUCUUAAAUGUUCUUUCUCACACAACAUAUAAAACAUUAAAUUGAAAAAUAAGAUUUUAAUUUGUCACAUUUUGACUAAUAUCACAUAUGUUCAAUUUGUAAUUAAUAGUUAAUUAUUAGCUAGUUCAUAAAAGAGACAAAUUUCCUUUACAAAGAUUUGUUCAGAAAAUGCAUGGGUUUUCCUUCCAGGGACCACUCAAAUAGUUUAAAGAAAUAUGUGAUAAUUCAAGUAUGCCUCUUUGUUGUAUAACACGUGUACUACACAUUAUCACAAAGAAGAAAAUCGCCUAUAAUCACAUCAUCAAAGAAUACAGUUAUCUAUAUAUCUGUCUAUUCCUUGUUUUUUUACUGCAGGAAUUCCUUCUGCCACUUAUGCUCCUAUGCUCCAACUAUAUUCACCAUCCAGAGACCUGCAUGGCCAGACCUUUUGGAACCAUCAGGAAAAGCCUAUCUAUUAUCUCACCAACUUAGACUCUUUAGAACAUGACAGAUUAUCUUUGUUGAUCACUUUAAACUUUGUUGAAAAAAGUGGGACAAUUUCAUUUUUAACAAUAUCGUAUUCCUCCCUGCUGCAUAUGUUUCUACCCUCUUUAAAACAUGAUAGGAAAGAAGCAGUUUUUUCUGCACUGUGUAUCUUUAAAAAUCCUCUCCCAUCAAUGUGAAAAGUAUCCCUAUUCCAUAAUGCUUCAACCUUCUAUUGUGGUCAUCUGUGGUUAUACUCUAAGCUUUCUGUUUCAUGACUACUGUUGUACACACCAUCUUCAAGGUACAUAAUGUUUGCUUUUUUUUUUUCCCCCCACAAUUUGAAUUUUUUUGUAGAAGUUUUGCCUUGACGAGAAAAUCCUGCAUGUUCUUUAAAAUAUUUGUUCUCCACCUCUGAUUGUUUUCCUUUUGCUAUAAUUAUAAAAAAUGUAUAACCCAAUCACCCUACAGAAGCAUUCUGAGGACCUUUAAAAAUUACAUGUGCUGUAUUAGGGAAAGGUGGAGAAAAUCCACAAUGGAAGAAAUGAGUUCUUAGAAUGUGUUGUGUAGAUAUUCCAGAGUUAAAGAAAAGAAAGAUGAUUUCAUAUUCUUUCCUUUCUGUUUAAAACUAUUUUCCACUGGGCUCAAAAUGGGGCAUGAUAUCUUUAUGAAACAUUCUGAAACUGUGACCUUUAAGUCAAAGUGUGUACAAGGAAAUAAUUUUCCACUGUAACAUUUCACUUAAUACAGUAAGUGGCAUACAAGUAUCUGCAUAUUUAUAGUAUUAAGGUAAGUAGGUAAUUUGCAAAAUGCAUUUAAAGAUACUCAAGCUAAGAGUCAGACACCCUCUAGCAGCUCAUCUGAUUCUGCUAAUCAAACUCCCAGCUUCAAAGGGCUAAUGCAACAUUACCACAUACUCCAUAAGAGCAGCAGUUCCAGGCAUCAAGGUGAUAUAAUGAUCACAGACACAGGAGAAAUAUUUCAAUUAAGGGUGGCGUAGCAGCAUGCUACUAAAGGCACACAGCAUCAUGCUAAUUAAAGUGCAAUAAGCCAACAAAGGCCAUCAAACAUUAUCCUACCAGAGGCAAUAUAGAAAACUGAUGAACCAAAGCAGUUGUUUUGUUUUUAAAAUCAAAAUGCCAAUAUGCUACUGACUGGUGAAAUACAAAUGAAUUUGGGUCUCUAAGAAAUUAAAAAUAUCAAAUACUGAAAUUUUAAAUCAAUUCUUUAAUCAACUAAUACAGGGUGGAAGUGUGAAGCCCUGAAUAUGCUCCCAAAUUGUAGCAGGUAAAUACAAAUAAACAAUGUCACUGCAUUAAAAUUACUGCUUGAUAUUACUGAACAAAUAUCUUUAUUGAACAUCUGAUGUAAGAAAAGCAGUGAGUUAAUUAAACUAUGUAUGCUUAUUCUGAUCAGUGAAAUAUUCUCCUUGAAGUUAAAAUAUGUUUAUGCCUUAACAUUUUCUUUAUGUAUAAAACAACAUCUCUGCAGGAAAUGUGGCAUUAUAUCAACGGUUAUUAGACUGAAAGCAAUAGACAACUCAAACAGGUAAGCCUAAUAGUACACUGUGGUAGAAGUCAAUUAAAUAAGUCAAUUUAAUGCUUAGGAGUAUACUUUUCUCUAGAAUUGAACUUGAAAACAUUUUUUUUCCCACAGAAGCUAUAAUCACUGAAUAGACAUAAAUAAGUGAAGGAAAUUAUGCUAUAGAUACAAUAAUCAAAAUCAUUUUAACUUUGCAGUGAUGUAAUCUGGAUUUGCAGUCUUUAGUCUUAGGGAAUCAUGCACAACUAUGCAUGUAGGACAGGUCCAAAACAUUUUGAAAAGAUAUAAAGAGUAUAAUUAAAAAUAUCAUGAUGAGUGCUCAAAGGAAUUCUUUGAAAGAUUUCAAAUAAACAGGACAUUAAUGAGAAUGCUGUAAUAAAGCUGUGGCCUGGGCUAUGAUUCUCGAUUGUAUAAUGUGAAUUACAAUAUGUAAUUAUACAAUUACAGUCCAAGUUAUGAAAUCAGCUAGUAUUUAUAGCCAAUGUCCACACAUGCUAUUGUUAAUAGCUAGCAAAUAAAUAUUGCAAUCACCAUGGUAUAAUAAAACUCCAAUUCACAUUUUUAUCUUUGAAAGCUGAGUCAUUGAAAUCUAGCAUUUGAGCUAAUCCAUCCAUGAAUGUUAAACAAGAAAAUUGAGAAAAAUCCAUAAUAUUUUUAAAUGAAAAUAAGCAGACACAUAUUGUCUUAAUAAAAAUCUCCAUGUAAUUACUUUAAUGUACAAUAACUCUGUCAUUUAUUAUGCAGUAAUUAAGUAUAAUUGUUCCCAAUUCUAUCAAAUAUCAAAAGCUAUACUUUAUUUCAGCCAAUUUUUGAGAGAUACAUAUUCACAGGUCAUAGUUAUAUCUUAGAUUUACUGACUCUGUGGAUUCAGAAACACUAGAUUUGACAAAGUCUGAAACAACAAAGAGAAGUUGUCUAUCUCCAAUGUUUUAAUCUUAAAGCAUAUAUUACUUCUAAUUGGAUGACACUUCUUCACCAGGUAGUAGAAACAAAGAGUAAAUCUGUGUACAUUUCAAAACAUGGGUUAUAUAACUAUAUGUUUUCUUUAAAAAAUAGAGCUUGAAAGGCAGGAUUCAAAGGAACCUGCUAUUCUGAACAUGUACAAAGGAAGACGUUUCCUUAGCAACAGGAAAUAGGUGAAAGCUCUCAGGAGUCAUCCUUCCACCCAUGCUCCUUUUGAGUUUGAUAAUGUUUCCAAGAUCAUGUAGGAAAGAUAGAGUGGAUUUAUCAUGAACAAACAAUACUGCUAGUUACGGAGCUUUCACAGCAUUUAUGAGUUGCCCAAUGCCUUGUUUGUUCUUGUUGGCAUGACAAGAGUAGUCAUUCUAGAGACUAGGCUUCCUUUUUUUUUUUUUUUUAUCAUUCUGUAUAUUCUAAAGAGGUUUAAGACUUUAAAACUAUGUUGUGAAUUCUUAAUAACUCAAAAGACCUUGUCACAUAUAGAAACAAAUCACAGGUUUUAUAGUCAUUCCAUCUAUUUAUGAAUUCACUUAGAAUUGUGUUAUAUUUUGUCUUUUUUUAAUGGAAAAAUGGAACCCCCAUUGUAUAGGAGAUGUUUUUAAACACUUCAGAAAAAACAUUGUAUUAACCACUUGAUGCUGUGAACCUUUCAAAGAUGGUUUGUUAUCCAUGUAUCAAAAUACAACUGAUUUCUGUAUGCUGAUUUUGUAUUCUCCAAUUUUAUAGAAAUCAUUUAUUACAACUAGCAGUUUUUUGUGAUAUGUAGACCUAGAGCUGGCAUUAAAUUUUGCAACAUAGACCUUGGAGUUGAAUGUGCUUCAGGCUUUUGCUGACCUUCCUGGCUGCUUUUCAGCUUUGAAUAUUUCUUCUGUUAAAUUCUCUGGCCGUUUGUAACGUCUAAUUUUGGCUUCUCCGAGGUGCAUCCAGACCAUUAUCAGGUUUGCAGUGAAGGCUCCCUAAACUCCCUCUGUAUCCACCCUUCCUUCAAACUACCAUUCAUGGCCCCUGCGCUCUUCAGCUCAAAGCAGAGAAUUUUCUCUAAACAUAAAUGGGACCAUGCUACCUCUUUUCGUAAAUCCCUGUCGUGUGUUUUACCGAAAGAACAAAAUUCCAAAUUCUUUGAAAGGCUCUGCAUUGUCUUCUUUAAAAUUGCCUGCCUCUCCUCUCUUCAUUCAAUAUACUGUAGCCGUGUUUUUACUCCAUUCCUCCAAAGUGCUAAAUCUAUAUCCACUAGCCACAGCAUUUUUUCCACAACUCUUCAAGUGACUGGAUUUCUUUCUCUUCUUUUGCUGUCAUUUUAUAUGUAGAUCAUCCAAAGAUGUUUUUCCUGAUAAUCUAUUUAAAAGCUCACAAAUACAAUUCUUAAUAUGCAUCCAUGAAUAUAUAUAUACAUAUAUACAUAACUCAAUCAUUUUCUGUACAGCAGAAAUUAACACAUUAUGAAUCAACUAUACUUCAAUAAAAUUUUAAAAAUUAUUAAUCCAUACUAUACCUCCUUCAAAUACAUACUGAAAUCUGUACCAAUAUUUUGCAUUGAGCAAACUGCUUGUAUUUUCUCUUUCUGUUCCACUCAAUCACAAGCUCCAUUAAGCCUGGACCUUCUGUAUUACUCAACACAGGAUCACCGACCUCACCACCAAGAUACACCACCUCCUCAAAUUUCUAACCAGCUUUGAUGUACUAGACACCUGGUACUAACAUAGAUUUUUACACAAAAAUUGACUCUGAAUUCAUGGUUGUUAAAGAUGGUGCAUUCUGUUGACAUGACUAUCGACAGGCAUCUGUUCUAAAUUUGGAUAUUAUUCAUGGUUGUAUGUUUAUUUAUUUAUAUAUGUUGUGACUGUCUCUCACUAGUGUGUGCAUGCACUUGUGUCUCUUCCACUGUGUCUGACUCUUUGUGACCCUAUGGACUGUAACCCACCAGACUCCUCUGUCCCUGGGAUUCUCCAGGCAAGAAUACUGGAGUGGGUUACCAUGCCCUCCUCCAGGGGAUUUUCCUGACCUAGGGAUGGAGCCCUCCUCUCCUGCAUCUCGUACAUUUCAGGCAGAUUCUUUACCACUGAGCCACUGGGGAAGCCCCAUGUCUCUCACUAGAUAAGGUAAUAAGUAUGAAAAUGUGGUUUAGACUCAAUGGACAUGAGUUUGAGCAAACUCCAGGAGAUAGUGAAGGACAGGGGAGCCUGGUGUACUGUAGUCCAUGGGGUCACGAAGAGUCAGACAUGAUUUAAUGACUCAACAACAACAUACUGUUUUGAAGUACAUGCAUAAAGCAAGCCCACAACUCUCAAAGAAAAGUCAGAGCUUGUUAGUCAUUAAAGCAGCAAAAAAUAUAUUUUAUUAAGGACUGUCACAGUGCAAAAUCACUGCAGAUGGUGAUUGCAGCCAUGAAAUUAAAAGACACUUACUCCUUGGAAGGAAAGUUAUGACC